UCAUAAGCUCAGUUGGCAAAGAAUCUGCCUGCAGUGCAGGAGACCCAGGUUCAAUUCCUGGUUUAGGAA
rnacentral:tRNA from 1 species